UGGUUGAUCCUGCCAGUAGUCAUAUGCUUGUCUCAAAGAUUAAGCCAUGCAUGUCUCAGUUCAGGCCUUAAUACGGUGAGACCGCGAAUGGCUCAUUAAAUCAGAUAUGGUUUAUUGGAUCGUGCCCGUUAGAUGGAUAACUGUAAUAACUCUAGAGGUAAUACAUGCCUCGAUGCCCUGACCCUGCUUGCUUGCGUGCGGUGGGGGAUGGGUGCACUUAUUAGACCAGAAGCCAACCAACCAACUGUGCGUGUGAAGCCCUCUUCGAGGUGGACGUGGCUGCGUUGGACACUCAAUCA
rnacentral:rRNA from 1 species